rnacentral:tRNA from 1 species
GAGAUUAUAGCUCAAGUGGUAGGGCACAUGCUUAGCAUGCACAAGGUCCUGGGUUUGAUCCCCAGUAUCUCC